UACGUAGGGUGCAAGCGUUGUCCGGAAUUAUUGGGCGUAAAGAGCUCGUAGGCGGUCUGUCGCGUCGAAUGUGAAAACCCGGGACUCAACUCCGGGCCUGCAUUCGAUACGGGCAGGCUUGAGUUCGGUAGGGGAGACUGGAAUUCCUGGUGUAGCGGUGAAAUGCGCAGAUAUCAGGAGGAACACCGGUGGCGAAGGCGGGUCUCUGGGCCGAUACUGACGCUGAGGAGCGAAAGCGUGGGGAGCGAACAGG
rnacentral:rRNA from 1 species